GAACCAAGAAAAUCCUUUUAUUUGCCUAGAUUUUCAUUUUUCCUCGCUUCUUGAACUAUGAGGUCAUAAAGGAAAUUUCACAAAUAAACACUUAUUGAUCGCAAUUAAGUCUUUAUUAUUAUUCAUAAACAACCCUUAUUUGUCAACUAUUUAUUCUGAUAAGCAAGCAUUGUCAUGGUUCCCUUCACUUUUUUACCCACACAGCAUAGUCUUGUCCAGGUGUAGCCAGCUCGAAGUUGGAGGGAAGAAGGUUUCCAAGAUCCAGCUUUGGCCCAAUUUUCAUAAUGACAUUAUCAUUAAUCAUAGCCAUAUAUAGAUCAGAUUCUGCAGCCAAAAUCUUCACGGUGCUUGUUUCGCUGAUCCCAUAAAUCUUCCUGAUCGAUGCCACCUUACUGAUCGGCUCCUUUAGCCCCCAUUCAAUGAAGUGAUCAUAAAAUAUGGAGGGUGUGCCAGGAUGUGUAAGGAUGUAAACAUAUCCCAGCAUGACUUUGUCUGAUGGGAAUGGCCAAACUUGUUGAGACCAAGUGUCAUGAUUAUCAAUGAAAGUUACUGCGUUUUCUGGCGAUAUGCCAAUAAAUCCUGGUGGCUUUCCACUUGUGUCGUUCAAUCUCCACAAUUCUCCUUGCACAGCAGCUUGAAGAGCCCCUUUGGUUGUGAAAUCAAAUGCUGUUACUCCAUUGCCAACAGCUUGAACCCAGUCUCUUAGCGCUCUGCGGUGAGCGUUCAAGUCGGUGACAGGCUUCCCAUCCUGCCCAUAAGAAAAGAAAUCCCAGUAUUCGCCAACUGCGAAAUUUGGUUUAGUUUGUUCCAUGUAAAUUUUGGCAAUAUUGGUAGAAAACCCUUUUACGAAAUCCAAUCUCCAUCCAUCGAAUCCAAUUUCAGACUUUAACCAAUUCAUCCAAUCGGACAACUCUUUCUGAACUCUUGGAUUGAGAUGGUCAAUAUCAGUCACGUUAGGGAAGUCCAUUCCGGUAUCAGGAUUUCCUUUGCCAUUGGAAUAGCCUGUGUCAUCAUUGCUGCAGAUGAAGGAUGCAUCCCAGUCCAGGCGAUUAUCAGAAGUUCCACCCUCGAAAAUGCUCCAGGCUCCUCUCUCGUCUUGCUUCUCAGCACUUCUAUGGUUUAUCACAAUGUCAGCUACGCAUUUGAUUCCGUUCUGAUGGAAAGCUGCAAUUAGUGACUUCAAUUCAUCUUGAGAUCCAUAUUUUGACGUGAGAUCAUAGAGCCUCCCUGGCUUGUACCCUUGGGGUGCAUCCGAAGCAGCUUGAGAAGGUGGAGGAAGCCAGACAUGAGUAACCCCAAGAUCAGCUAAAUCAGGAAUGUAGUUUAUCAAUGAAUUGUACCAUCCUCCUUCCUUGUUAGAUGAAGCCCAAUUGAACCCCUGGAACAAUAAUGAAGAAGAUGCUAACAAAGGAAAGAUUGAGAGGAAGAGAGAGAGAAAAGAUAGAAAAUUGGGAACCCUCAUUAUUAUUAUAGUUAUUUUUUACGUUUUUUCUCUCU
rnacentral:misc_RNA from 1 species